AUUGAACGCUGGCGGCAGGCCUAACACAUGCAAGUCGAGCGAGUGGCGGACGGGUGAGUAAUGUCUGGGGAUCUGCCUGAUAGAGGGGGAUAACUACUGGAAACGGUAGCUAAUACCGCAUACUAUCGGAUGUACCCAGAUGGGAUUAGCUGGGUGGUGGGGUAAAGGCUCACCUAGGCGACGAUCCCUAGCUGGUCUGAGAGGAUGACCAGCCACCCUGGAACUGAGAAACGGCCCAGACUCCUACGGGAGGCAGCAGUGGGGAAUAUUGCACAAUGGGCGCAAGCCUGAUGCAGCCAUGCCGCGUGUAUGAAGAAGGCCUUCGGGUUGUAAAGUACUUUCAGCGGGGAGGCGUUACCCGCAGAAGAAGCACCGGCUAACUCCGUGCCAGCAGCCGCGGUAAUAC
rnacentral:rRNA from 1 species